AACAAACAAAAAAGAUUUCCUUCCUCUGUGACCCUGUAGGGACAACAGGUCACAUGAAUCUGACCUUGCUAUGAUAGUCAAAGGCCUAAAGCUGGUGGACAAAAAAGUAACCAAAACACUUCAGGUUACCCUCAGGGGCAGUCACUUCCUGAACAGGACUCUGGUUGCUAAGGAAAUAGUGCCUCCAACUGGCAACUGUGAAAACCUUAGACCCAGCAAAGGAAAUGCUCAUAGGCCUGCAGCAUGGGAGAGACUUUCUGAGGGCCUCCCAUAUGUCAGAGGUUUCCCGUCUUUGAGACACUAAGAACGCACAGAGUUUUAAGGAAGAAAACAUCAAAUCUCCCAACCAACCAAAGGCCUGACAAAGUGAACAACAAGAAGAACGGCCCUGUGGGGUUUGCAGGGAGCUGGACUCAACUGGAGAGAAUCACACUGAAUGAAAGAAGUCAACCUCAGAAGGGCAGGUCCCGCAUGUCUCUCAGGUGUGGCUCCUCCGCCGUGUGCUACACACAUGGAAUACUGCAGGUUCUGAAGACAUGGGGCAUCUGGAGAAACUUCGUGGAGAACAGAGUGGCCUAAAGGGAGACGGUAGGUUUGUGGAAUCAGAGGGCAUUGGAACAUGGUGGAUGGAACAGGCCAAGAGAGAAGUAUAUAAUUGCAUGAAAUUAUAUAUUCCAACCACAUGUCAUUCCAGUAAAUAAAACACUUUGAAAUGAG